rnacentral:snRNA from 1 species
GAAUGGGAGAAGAAUCUGGAUGUCACAUCUGUCACCCCACUGAUCACCAGGGUUAUUUCAGCUGACCUAGUUGAUCUAGCAAGUGUUUCUUUCCUCCCUCACCAUUUCAUGUGAGUCCCUCCAGAAACUGGCAGUCAGUCAGUCAAAGAGGAGGACCUUCCCUGACAGAGAAAGACUGAGGAAUACUUUUCUUUGAUCAAGGGUCUACAAAUUAAUUGCACUCUACUGCUAGAGUCUCCAAACAGGCAACAUCUCCCUUCUCCAAGAUAAGAGUAAACAGUAGAAUGCUUCCCAGAGGUUUUAUUUUAUUUAUUUAUUAUUUAUU